GAUGAACGGUGGCGGCGUGCCUAAUACAUGCAAGUCGAGCGAACAGACGAGGAGCUUGCUCCUCUGACGUUAGCGGCGGACGGGUGAGUAACACGUGGAUAACCUACCUAUAAGACUGGGAUAACUUCGGGAAACCGGAGCUAAUACCGGAUAAUAUAUUGAACCGCAUGGUUCAAUAGUGAAAGACGGUUUUGCUGUCACUUAUAGAUGGAUCCGCGCCGCGUUAGCUAGUUGGUAAGGUAACGGCUUACCAAGGCAACGAUGCGUAGCCGACCUGAGAGGGUGAUCGGCCACACUGGAACUGAGACACGGUCCAGACUCCUACGGGAGGCAGCAGUAGGGAAUCUUCCGCAAUGGGCGAAAGCCUGACGGAGCAACGCCGCGUGAGUGAUGAAGGUCUUCGGAUCGUAAAACUCUGUUAUUAGGGAAGAACAAAUGUGUAAGUAACUAUGCACGUCUUGACGGUACCUAAUCAGAAAGCCACGGCUAACUACGUG
rnacentral:rRNA from 1 species